rnacentral:rRNA from 1 species
ACUAGUACUAGCCCACCCAACACUAACUACACACAACAACAUUUAACCANCUCAAACAAAACAUUUACCCCUAUAAAAGUAUAGGAGAUAGAAAUUUUUUAUCGGAGCUAUAGAGCCAGUACCGCAAGGGAAAGAUGAAAGAACCAUCUAUAGUAAAAUAAAGCAAAGACUAAACCUUCUACCUUUUGCAUAAUGAAUUAACCAGAUACAACUUCACAAAAAGAAUUUAAGCUAAGGAUCCCGAAACCAGACGAGCUACUUAUGAGCAGCUAUCAGAGCCAAUCCGUCUAUGUAGCAAAAUAGUGGAAUGACUUAUAAGUAGAGGUGAAAAACCUAUCGAGCCUGGUGAUAGCUGGUUAUCCAGAUAAGAAUUUUAGUUCAACCUUAAAUUUACUCUAAGCACCAAAAAUCUAAACGUAAAUUUAAUUGUUAGUCUAAAGAGGGACAGCUCCUUAGACAUAGGAAAUAACCUUAGUUAGAGAGUAAGCCCAACAACUCCCAUAGUUGGCCUAAAAGCAGCCACCAAUUGAAAAAGCGUUCAAGCUUAACCUUAGAACCCCAACUUAAUCCCAACACUCACAACUACCUCCUAAUCUCACACUGGAUUAAUCUAUAAUUAACUAUAGAAGCAAUAAUGUUAAUAUAAGUAACAAGAAAAACCUUUUCUCCCUGCAUAAGCUUAUAUCAGCCCGAAUAAAUCACUGAUAGUUAACAAACCUAUAGUCUCAGCCUACAGCCUCARCCACUAUUACYUAYAAUGUUAACCCAACACCGGCAUGCACCUAAAGGGAAAGAUUAAAAAAAGUAAAAGGAACUCGGCAAACAUUAACCCCGCCUGUUUACCAAAAACAUCACCUCUAGCAUAGAUAGUAUUAGAGGCACUGCCUGCCCAGUGACAUACGUUAAACGGCCGCGGUAUCCUAACCGUGCAAAGGUAGCAUAAUCACUUGUUCCUUAAAUAGGGACUUGCAUGAAUGGCCAAACGAGGGUUUAUCUGUCUCUUACUUUUAAUCAGUGAAAUUGACCUUCCCGUGAAGAGGCGGGAAUAAACAAAUAAGACGAGAAGACCCUACGGAGCUUAARUUUAUUARUCCAAGUANNCUAUAAUACUYUACAAGAGAYAAANNNYCYUUACCYAUGGAUUAAAAAYUUUGGUUGGGGUGACCUCGGAGUAUAACUUAGCCUCCGAAUGAUCUUAAUCUAGACCUAACCUGUCCAAAUUUAGAUUCAUAAAUUGACCCAAUAUAUUUGAUCAACGGAACAAGUUACCCUAGGGAUAACAGCGCAAUCCUACCCAAGAGUCCAUAUCGACAGUAGGGUUUACGACCUCGAUGUUGGAUCAGGACAUCCAAAUGGUGCAACCGCUAUUAAAGGUUCGUUUGUUCAACGAUUAAAGUCCUACGUGAUCUGAGUUCAGACCGGAGAAAUCCAGGUCGGUUUCUAUCUAUUAAAUAUUUCUCCCAGUACGAAAGGACAAGAGAAAUAAGGCCAAUUUCUCUAACACGCCUUAUUAUAAUAGAUGAAAUAAUCUUAAUCUAAUCAAUAUUUUCAUCUUACCCUAAAACAGGGUUU